AUGUGGAGAUCGAUGUUCCGAUUUAUCAAUGCUUGGCUACAGGCGGUAUUCCGGUAUAUCACUGCUUGGCUUCAGGCGGCGGCGGCCGAUGAUUCUGAUGCUGUCGCAUUGCCUCGGGCGGCGAUGGAUUUUCCUGUCACUGUUUCGUUUGGCCCCCUCCACCGGCCGCUCCAUUCAUUCAGGGCUACCAAGAACAAUCUCCCAGAUGGGGUUAGCGAGGGCCAGGUCCGGCGCCUCGAAGAAGAUCUGGAGACAUUGUUCACUGAGCUCAAGGUCGUGUCGGAGGCGGACGACCCCAGCUUCACGGCCGGAUGCUGGAUGAAGGAGGUGCGGGAACUCCGCUACGACGCAGAGGACUUCUUCAACGAGGUCCCGCGCUCCUCCGCCGCCGGCAGGAGCGCUCUCCUCUCCAUCAUCCUCUGGAUCCCCAGUAAACUGAAGCGGCGGCGCCAGGCUGCAGAAGCUUUCUCAGAUCUGCGGGCUCGUGCCAGGGAUGCGAGUCAAAGACGCCAAAGCCUCCACAUUGGCCCAACAACCAUCAAGCCUGAAUUUGGGCAAGCCAAUGUCCGCUCCAGUCCCCAACUACUUCUUGACCUUGAGGAGUCCAUGGAGAAGCUUGUAAAACUGAUGGCUUUGGAUGACCAAGAGAUUGCAGAUCUGCUGGCCUUUGACAGUGAAGAUGCAGAGCAACAAGUUCAGGUGGUACCUAUCUUUGGGUCUGCAGGUGUUGGCAAAACGACACUUGCUCGAACCUUCUACCGUAACUUUGGGGGGAAAUUCCAGUGCCGGGCUUUCGUGCGGGUGUCGCGGAAUCCAGAUAUGAGGAGGAUGCUUUCCAGCAUGCUCUCACAAAUUAAGGCACCACCGGUCCGUGGCUUUCCUGAUGUGCAGGACCUUAUUGACCAUAUCAGAGAAUAUCUGCAAUCCAAAAGAUACUUGAUUGUAAUUGAUGACUUAUGGGCCUCUUCAACAUGGGAUAUUAUUAGCCGUGCUUUUCCUGAUGGUGAUUGUUGCAGCAGAAUAAUGGUAACCACAGAAAUCAAGGAUGUAGCAUUGGCAUGCAGUAGGUAUCAGUUUAAGUACAUGUAUGAGAUGAAUCCUCUUAAUGGUGAUCAAUCAAGCAAGUUAUUACUCGGCCGAGUUUUUGGGUCUGAAAGUGGCUGUCCUCCAGAUUUCAAAGAAGUUACAUACGAGAUUAUCCAGAAAUGUGGAGGUUUACCAUUAGCAAUUGAAAAUAUAGCCAGCAUGUUAGCAUGUGAACUAGACGUCGAUCAAUGGAAGCACGUGCGAGAUUCUUUACCCUCUGUUUUGGGUCUGAGGACAAACCCUAGUUCGGAAGGGUUGAAAGAAGUUCUGAACAUUAUUUACAAUAAUCUUUCACCAUACAUGAAGACAUGCCUGCUAUAUCUUAAUAUGUAUCCAGAGGGCAACACUAUCAGCAAGGAAGACUUAGUGAAGCAAUGGGUAGCUGAAGAUUUAAUCGGUGAAGGGCAAAACAGAGAGAAAACUGCACGGGAUUAUUUUGAUGAGCUUGUCAGUAGAGGAAUGAUCCAACCUCUAGACAGAAAUUAUAAUGAUGAGGUGUUGACAUGCACAGUACACCACAUGGUACUAGAUCUUAUUAGGUACAAAUCCCUGGAGGAGAAUUUCAUCAUUAAUGUGAGCUGUUUUCAAACAACUCCAGGUCUUCCUGACAAGGUUCGUCGAUUGUCUAUCCAGUUCGGUGCUGCAAAAUGUGCAAAUAUACCAGCAGACUUUAUGAUGACUCAAGUUAGAUCACUUAUGUUUUUUGGGUUCUUUAAUUGUGUGCCUUCUGUUGGCGAGUAUAAGCUCCUUCAAGUUCUGAUUCUUAAUAUCUGGGCUGAUGAAAGAAAAAUAUUUGACCUCACUAGAAUUGGUGAACUGUUUGUGCUGAGAUAUCUGAAAAUUGAUGGCAACAUCACCGUCCAUCUGCCAGAUGAGAUUCGACAGCUAAAAUUAUUGGAGACACUGGAACUGCAUGCACCAGUAAAUGAUAUGCCAUCAGAUAUUAGUUGCUUGCCAUUACUUCGCACUCUGGGCUAUUUUGACCUCAGCAAGAGCUCAAUAGAGAAUGUACAGAGCCUUGGUGAGCUGAACAAUCUGGAAGACCUUCAUCUCACCUGGUCUAACAUUGCACAGCCAGAUAAUCUGAAGAACAAUAUGCAAUGCUUGGGCACAAUUCUCUGGAAACUCAGCAACCUGAAGUCUUUAACUCUAGUACCAGCAGCCUCCUCUCAUGCAGAUGUUCUGGACGAUGCCGGUGGUGCAAGCGUGGGUAUUUCUGGCGAUGUCUUGAGCAGUUUGUCCUCUCCUCCGGCCCUUCUUCAGAGGCUUGAGCUGUCAGGGGGGUGUUGCAUCUUUUCCAGCCUACCCGAGUGGACCAAAGAGCUUGGCAAUCUCUGCAUUUUGAAGAUUGCAGUUAGGAAGCUGUUGAGGAAAGAUAUUGAUAUCCUCAAAAGAUUGCCAGCACUCAUGGCUCUCUCGCUGUACAUCUGGACAGCCCCUGUAGGAAAGGUCGUCUUUGAUGAUGAGGGAUUCUCGGUUCUCAAAUACUUCAAGUUCACAUGUGCUGCCCCAUGCGUGGCAUUUCUGAAAGGUGCAAUGCCUAGUGUCCGGGAGCUCAAGCUAGCAUUUGAUGCCGACAGAAUGGAGCAAUACCCCCAGAUAGUUCCUGGAUUAGAGUACCUGACAGAACUUAGAGAGAUCACUGCAAAAGUUGGGGGCACUGGUGCUGAUGAAUCUGAUAAAAGGUACGCUGAGUCAGCACUGAGUGGCGCCAUUGCCAAUCAUCGGAGCACUCCAAUAAUCAGAGUACAAUGUGUAGAUCGGAUUUUUUUUGGUGCCAUCACACAAGAACAAGAAUACUGGACUCUGGAAGAACAACAUGAGAUACAAGAGGAAUUGCUUGAUCCUCUUCCUGAAUUUUUUAUUUCCACUCCGAGCACACAAGAGCAUGUUGAAGGAAGAGAUAAAUCGGUUGAGGUGCUGACACAAGAACAGGAACACUGCACUCUUGAUCUUGUUACUGAACUUCUUUUGACACCAACACAAACAAGGGAUGGAGUGCAGGGUGAACAAAUGGGAGGAUCGAAGGUGGUUGUGACACAAGAACAGGAACACUGGAUUACGGAGAAACAACACGAGACACGAGCAGAAUUUCUUGAUCCUCUUCCCGAUCUCCUUAUUUCCACUCAAAGCACAGACAAAGAAACGGGAGAUGGAGCUCAGGGUGAAAUAAUAAAAAGAUCAAUGGAGGUCCUGACACAUGGACAUGAACACUUAACUCUAGAAAAACAACAUGAGAUUCAUGAGGAAUUGUUUGAUCUUCUCCCUGAAGUUCUUUCCACUCCAAGCACACAGAUACAAGUGACAGAGGAAGUUCAGGAUGGAGAAAUAGAAAGAUUGAUGGAGGUGCUGACACAAGAGCAAGAACAGUGCACCCUUGAAAGCCAACACGAGAUGACAGAGGGAAUGCAGGAUGUACAAAUAGGGACAUCGAUUGAGGCGGCGGCACAAGAAGACAACAAUACUCGGCAAAGACAGCAUGAGAUUGAAAAGGAAUUGCUUGAUCCUCUUCCUGAACUUCUUUCUAUUUCAAGCACUCCAAGCCCAGAAAUACAAAUAAUAGAUGAAGUGCAGAAUAGAGUAACACAGAGAUCGAUGGAGGUAGUGAGCGCUUCCCAGGGCACGUUGGGACCCCUACUGGAGAAGAUCAAUGGUUUGCUCGCCAAUGAGCAUGCUAGCUUGAAUGGGGGCCUGCGCCGUGAAGUCCGCUACCUCAAAUCUGAUCUGGCGGACAUGCAUACCAUGAUGAAAAAGUACACGAUGCUGGAAGAUCCAGAUGUCCUGGUGAAGGAAUGGAUAUCGUUGCUGAGGGAGUUGUCUUAUGAUGCAGAGGAUUGCCUUGACAAGUUUGUUCAGAAGCUCGACAGUGGCGGUAGUCACGGUGGAUUCAAGGGGAUAGUCCGCAGGGCUUCUCUCCUUCCGAAGAAAAUUAAAUCUCGGCGCGGAUUCGCAGAAAAAAUUGGCGAGCUGAAAGUUUGUGUCAAGAACUUGAGAGAGCUCAAGAGUAAACUGGACGAUACUGCUUGCGUCACAUCUUAUCAUUCAACCGUGGAUCCCCGGCUGUCUGCUCGUUUUGCUGACGGCGGGCACCUUGUGGGCAUUGACGGUCCAAGAGAUGAUCUUACCAAGUGGAUGGUUGAAGUAGGAAACAGCUCAGCAAAGAAUCAUCGUAGGGUGUUAUCUAUUGUUGGGUUUGGUGGAUUGGGAAAGACAACACUAGCGAAUCAGGUCUAUCGCAAGACUGAAGGGCAUUUUCAUUGUCAGGCCUUUGUAUCAGUCUCGCAAAAGCCGAAUAUAAAGAAAAUUAUCAUGGACUUGAUCUCCCAAGUGUCUUCCCAUGGAUUCACGGAAGAUAUUGACAAUUGGGACGAAAGGAGAUCCAUUGAAGAGCUAAGAGGACUGCUACAAGGCAAGAGGUAUCUCGUCGUCAUUGAUGAUAUAUGGUCUAUAGAGGCAUGGAAUAUUAUCAAGUCUGCUCUUCCAGAGAAUAACUGUUCUAGCAGAAUUAUAACUACUACACGCAUUAUUGACGUUGCAAGGUCAUGUUGUGUGGAUCGAGAUGACCGCAUGUAUGAAAUGCAAUUCUUGAGUGAUUAUCAUUCUAAAAAAAUGUUCUUCAAAAGAAUUUUUGGGUUUGAGGAUGUUCCCGAUAUGCUGGAAGAAGUUUCAAAAGAAAUUUUAAAAAAAUGUGGAGGCCUACCAUUGGCAAUUAUCAGUAUGUCUAGUUUAUUGGCAAAUAGACCAGCUAAGAAAGAGGAGUGGGAAAAAGUCAUAACGUCAACUGGUUCUGCAAGUCUAGAGGGAAUGAAGGGCAUACUAUGGCUUAGCUACAAGGAUCUUCCAGAUAAUCUCAAGACUUGUUUGUUGUAUUUAAGUAAUUUUCCUGAGGGCUCUGUGAUUGAGAGAGAUAGGUUAGUGAGACGGUGGAUAUCAGAAGGCUUUAUCUCUGAAAAUCGUGGGCAAAGUCAGCAAGAGGCCGCGGAGAACUGUUUCUAUGAGCUUAUCAACAGAAACUUGAUUCAAGCAGUGGACAUUUGCUAUGAUGGUAAGGUUCGUGCAUGCCGAGUCCAUGCCAUGAUGCUUGAACUCAUCAUUUCAAAGUCAGCUGAAGAUAAUUUCGUCACGGUGAUUGGUAGCGGGCAGACUGGUUUGGUAAAUCACCAUGGUUCUAUUCGACGACUAUCUGUCCAGCACAUUGACCAGAAUCUUGCAUCUGUAUUGGCAAAUGAAGAUCUAAGCCAUGUACGCUCUCUAACAGUUACAUCAUCAAGUUGCAUCAAACACUUGCCUAGUUUUGCUUCCUUUCAAAAUUUGCGUGUACUGGAUUUUGAAGGGUGUGAUGGAUUGGAAAAGAAAUAUAUGAUGUGUCUUCUGUUUGAGGAAGGGGCACUGCCGAUGCUCGAGGAUCUUGGCCUAGUCUACUCUGUGUCAAUGGCGAAUGCCAAUGGAUUCUGCCUGGGUUUUCAGCACCUCCCAAGACUGAGAAAUGCACGAGUCCGUCUCUACAAAGAGGGCGCAACAUCUUCUGCUAUCACUUCUGCAGAAGUUGCUAUAAAGAAUGAAGCAGAUGCCCAUCCCAACCAUCCCACAGUAACUCUGAUAGAACAUGUCAAGAGAGUGGAUUAUUGCUCUGAGGAAUGUCCUAAGAGAACCGUACAGAGCUACUCUGAAGACCCAGAACUAGUUGACAAUACAACUAAGCAAAAGGAAACUUAA
rnacentral:rRNA from 1 species